rnacentral:rRNA from 1 species
AGAGUUUGAUCAUGGCUCAGAAUCAACGCUGGCGGCGUGCCUCAGACAUGCAAGUCGAACGCGAAAGUCCCCUUCGGGGGACAAGUAGAGUGGCGUCCGGGUGAGUAACACGUAGGUAAUCUACCUUCGGGUGGGGAAUAACGCAGGGAAACUUGCGCUAAUACCGCAUAAUGCAGCGGCACCACAUGGUGACAGUUGUUAAAGCGGGGGAUUUUCGAACCUCGCGCCUGAAGAGGAGCCUGCGGCAGAUUAGCUAGUUGGUAAGGUAAUGGCUUACCAAGGCGACGAUCUGUAACCGGCCUGAGAGGGCGGUCGGUCACACUGACACUGACAUACGGGUCAGACUCCUACGGGAGGCAGCAGUCGGGAAUUUUGGGCAAUGGGCGAAAGCCUGACCCAGCAACGCCGCGUGAAGGAUGAAAUCCUUCGGGAUGUAAACUUCGCAAGAAUGGGAAGAAUUAGCGAGUACUAAUACUGCUCGUGAUGACGGUACCAUUUGUAAGCUCCGGCUAACUCCGUGCCAGCAGCCGCGGUAAUACGGGGGGAGCAAGCGUUGUUCGGAUUUACUGGGCGUAAAGGGCGCGUAGGCGGCCAGCACAAGUCAGUUGUGAAAUCUCCGGGCUUAACUCGGAAAGGUCAACUGAUACUGUGCGGCUAGAGUGCAGAAGGGGCAACUGGAAUUCUCGGUGUAGCGGUGAAAUGCGUAGAUAUCGAGAGGAACACCUGCGGCGAAGGCGGGUUGCUGGGCUGACACUGACGCUGAUGCGCGAAAGCCAGGGGAGCGAACGGGAUUAGAUACCCCAGUAGUCC